UCAGAGGUGAGGGAUCACUGUAAUACCUAAAGCACACAAAAAUUUACCAAGUUAAUAAUUUGCCGGUGCCUGCUAAUACCAGGAACAAAAAUAUUACACCACAAGGGGGCUAUUGUUUAUGGAGGGACAAUGAAGACUGGGAAUGUGGCCAGACUGGAUUCUUUGAAGGAAUUCCAGAGAGGCAGAGUUGCUGAAGUGAAAUAAGAAACACAGAUCUGCAGAGACAGGAGUGACCAAAACCUUUCCCUUCAAUGAUCAGUCUCUCAGAUGACAGACUGAACUCUCCCGUGAGGGGCUACGCAAGAAAUUUCCAGUAUCACCAACAGUCUGGCAGCUUGUCUGAGAGACGUAAUAAAAGACUAUGCACUGAAACACA